rnacentral:rRNA from 1 species
CCUACGGGGGGCAGCAGUAGGGAAUAUUGCUCAAUGGGGGAAACCCUGAAGCAGCAACGCCGCGUGGAGGAUGAAGGUUUUCGGAUUGUAAACUCCUUUUGUUAGAGAAGAUAAUGACGGUAUCUAACGAAUAAGCACCGGCUAACUCCGUGCCAGCAGCCGCGGUAAUACGGCGGGUGCAAGCGUUACUCGGAAUCACUGGGCGUAAAGAGCGCGUAGGCGGGAUAGCAAGUCAGAUGUGAAAUCCUAUGGCUUAACCAUAGAACUGCAUUUGAAACUGUUAUUCUAGAGUAUGGGAGAGGUAGGUGGAAUGCUUGGUGUAGGGGUAAAAUGCGUAGAGAUCAAGAGGAAUACUCAUUGCGAAGGCGACCUGCUAGAACAUAACUGACGCUGAUGCGCGAAAGCGUGGGGAGCAAACAGGAGUAGAUACCCGAGUAGUC